rnacentral:piRNA from 1 species
UNCCCAAGGCCUAUAGAUCCUACUACUCAC